rnacentral:rRNA from 1 species
CCUACGGGGGGCUGCAGUGGGGAAUAUUGGACAAUGGGGGCAACCCUGAUCCAGCCAUGCCGCGUGUGUGAAGAAGGCCUUCGGGUUGUAAAGCACUUUAAGCUGGGAGGAAGGCUCUGUGGCUAAUAUCCACGGGGAUUGACGUUACCAGCAGAAUAAGCACCGGCAAACUUCGUGCCAGCAGCCGCGGUAAUACGAAGGGUGCGAGCGUUAAUCGGAAUUACUGGGCGUAAAGCGCGCGUAGGUGGUUUUGUAAGCGGAAUGUGAAAUCCCCG